AACGAACGCUGGCGGCAUGCCUAACACAUGCAAGUCGAACGAGACCUUCGGGUCUAGUGGAGCACGGGUGCGUAACGCGUGGGAACCUGCCCUUAGGUUCGGAAUAACUCCCCGAAAGGGGUGCUAAUACCGGAUAAUGUCUUCGGACCAAAGAUUUAUCGCCUUUGGAUGGGCCCGCGUUGGAUUAGCUAGUUGGUAGGGUAAAAGCCUACCAAGGCGACGAUCCAUAGCUGGUCUGAGUGGAUGAUCAGCCACACUGGGACUGAGACACGGCCCAGACUCCUACGGGAGGCAGCAGUGGGGAAUAUUGGACAAUGGGCGAAAGCCUGAUCCAGCAAUGCCGCGUGAGUGAUGAAGGCCUUAGGGUUGUAAAGCUCUUUUACCCGGGAUGAUAAUGACAGUACCGGGAGAAUAAGCUCCGGCUAACUCCGUG
rnacentral:rRNA from 1 species